rnacentral:rRNA from 1 species
CCUACGGGGGGCAGCAGUAGGGAAUUUUCCGCAAUGGGCGAAAGCCUGACGGAGCAAUACCGCGUGAGGGAUGACGGCCUGUGGGUUGUAAACCUCUUUUCUCAAGGAAGAAGUUCUGACGGUACUUGAGGAAUAAGCAUCGGCUAACUCUGUGCCAGCAGCCGCGGUAAUACAGAGGAUGCAAGCGUUAUCCGGAAUCACUGGGCAUAAAGCGUCUGUAGGUUGUUUAGUAAGUCUGCUGUUAAAGACUGGGGCUCAACCCCAGAAAAGCAGUGGAAACUGCUAGACUUGAGUGUGGUAGAGGUAGAGGGAAUUCCUAGUGUAGCGGUGAAAUGCGUAGAUAUUAGGAAGAACACCAAUGGCGAAGGCACUCUACUGGGCCAUAACUGACACUGAGAGACGACAGCUAGGGGAGCAAAUGGGAUUAGAUACCCCAGUAGUC